rnacentral:rRNA from 1 species
CAGUCGCCACGGUAAUACAGAGGGUGCGAGCGUUAAUCGGAUUUACUGGGCGUAAAGCGUGCGUAGGCGGCUUCUUAAGUCGGAUGUGAAAUCCCUGAGCUUAACUUAGGAAUUGCAUACGAUACUGGGAAGCUAGAGUAUGGGAGAGGAUGGUAGAAUUCCAGGUGUAGCGGUGAAAUGCGUAGAGAUCUGGAGGAAUACCGAUGGCGAAGGCAGCCAUCUGGCCUAAUACUGACGCUGAGGUACGAAAGCAUGGGGAGCAAACAGGAUUAGAUACCCCAGUAGUCCCUGUCUCUUAUAC